rnacentral:snoRNA from 1 species
GGGUUCGAGACCAGCCUUUCUUUAUGGCAAGAGGAAAGACAUUUCUGAUGUGCUCAGCAAAUAUUUGGAGGUAAGUUGGCAGCAUGACUAAUUCAGCCAUUGCUGUGAGGUCCCUUCAGACAAGG